AGUUGGUCCAAAGGUAUUGAGUUGUCUCAGUUGAUUGUUCACAGUCAGUUACAGAUGGAACUCCUUUUUCUACUCUUUGGCCCCUUCUCACUGCUGUACAUGACUAGUCUUUU
ensembl:misc_RNA Y_RNA Y RNA